AUCAUAACUUGCUCGCUGA
rnacentral:miRNA from 1 species